GGGAAAGGCUGAGCCCCGGCGCUUCCUCUCAACUCGCGAAAAAAGCCUCGCCCAGGCAAAGUUGUUUGACCAUAAAAGGCGCGAGGCUGCGCGCACAGCUGAGCUCACUCGCUGGGGAAUGUGGCAAUGAGCUUACAUUGAUGAGAAACCUACAGUAUGCUGCAUCCUGCUUUGCUGUCUUACCAGAUUAUACCAGAGUCCUGGAGUUUCCAUGUGUUUGCUUUUGACUCAAAAAUUGUUAUUCUUGAAAUCCCUGCACCUCCAAGCAAGGAAUGGAAUUUCAAGUUACAUGGUGCCUGAAGAAUUCCACUCUCCUAAACAUAGCAAUUAUUUAUUUGACUUGAGGGACCACGAGACCAGAACUCUCCUCAUCUACAAUAACUUCAACUCUUUCUCCCAGCAGACAGUAAACUGAGAAAGAAAUAGUAAAUAUGAAGGUAUGAUAAAUGUUCUCUCACCUAUUGCAGAUUAAAAACAAUUUUGGGGAGGUAGAACAAAAGAGCAGCCUUCUGUGAGAGGAGAUAAAAGCUAACAGCCUUUGCCUUCGCCCAGUAUUGAUACAUAGUAUCUCCACAGACUGGGUGGUGCAACAACAAGUAGUAUUAUUCCAAGAGUUACCUCGUGAAUUGCACUGGUGGAUUUCUUUCAAGGAUCAGCUAUGGCCCCAAUGGGUUUGAGGUUAGAAUGCUCUUCUUUGCUGGGCUGCCUCUUAGUCAGAAGGUACCAUCAGGAUGUCAAGUGUUGCAAGACAGUAAGAAGAAAAGGCAGCAAGACAGACUCUUCUGAGAUCCUGUUCCUCAAAUUUCAGUCGAGAACACAGAAAGAAACAAGGUCCAAAUGUUCUUAUUAAGGUGGUUGUCAGCAGGGAAAGACAUUAGACCUCAGAAGACUUUGAAACAGAUGGGAAUGGAAAGGUCACCUCCAAAUAAGCACAGAGGGAAACAUUUUGGAACCCACCAUAUUCCUUAUGGACUGCAGCACAGUAGAGCAGAGCAGGUAGAUGUAUUCACAUCUUCCAGAAACAGCAGCAAGCCUGACUUGAUUCCAAAAAUAGUUUGAGUCAAUGUUGAUUUGCCAGAGCCUACUCACAACAGCUGUGUUCUCUGUGUUACAGAGCAAUUUCUGGAGAUUUUUUAAAAUGUGAGGGCCAUUCUGUCAGUGCAUGAGUGAACAGUUUAAGUUGAUAUUUUGCUUCAGGAUACAUUAUACUGUCACUAUUCCAGACUUAAGAAUUCAGCAACGAGGACAGAAUGACUAGCUUUUAAAAUAAGAAGUACUUUCUUUGUUCAGACUUGCUUUUAAGGUUUAGGGUAUUUUUGUAUCUUUUUAUUAAGAUCUGUAAAACUCCAGAAGCACAUUGCAGGAAAAAAACCAAAUAAACAAUGUAUUUUUAAAACUGUGAGUAUCCACAGUUUCUCUGAGCUUCUAGUCCCCCAUCUCCAAUAUAUCAAAGGGAGAGAGUGAGGAGACGACAACUGAUAUUUUGUAAGGCUAAAAAUAUUGUGUCUUUUUACAUAACACUGAGAAUUUAAAAAGCACAUUAACUGCUUGCAGAUUAUUUUUAAAAAUGCAGCUUGAGCAACACCACUAGUAUAGAUUCAACUGACAUUUAGCAGAAGUAGCUGCUGUAUAUUUCACUGUUGGGAAAUGAGACAUUCAGUAGAGAAUUAAGUAAAUGUUUUUAAAAAGCCAAAAUAAGACUCAGACUCCAUCAAAGAUACCUGCACACUAACAUACACCUCACAUUUAUGUCAUGGGUGAUGUCUGUUUCUCUAAUGCAUAUCAAGUAGCCUUUUUGACCCUCCCUUUUUGACACCUCCUCAGACCUUCCCUCUUGGCACUACCUACCUCAUGGUGAGGAACCUUGACACUCUCAGUGUGACUGCCAGAGGUUCAACAAAUUCCUUUUUUUUACACUCCUGGAAUUUCCUUUCUUUUUUCCUCCUCAUUUGUUAGCAUCUGCUGAGCCCUUCCUGGCAGGGAGGGAGUGGGAAGGAGUGCCUUAUCUGAAGUUACUUAUCUUCCCAUUUCACUUGCUGCUGGAAAAGCCCCAGGCCAUGGCAGAAGAAACUGGAAUUUGAGAGCAUGGCCCAGAAUACCUUCAGUCUCAUUCUGUGUGUAGCAGGCAUUUAACCGGUUUAGACACAAGGUAAGGACAUAUGAGGAUGCAGAAUAGAUUUAUGAAAGACAUUUGCCAGAAUGGUGUUGCUGAGUGGGUGAAGUUUGUGACAGAUGAAGCAGACUUGUUAAUUCUUUGAUACUGAGCUGCAGUUCCAGAGAGCAAUGGUUCUCCAUGCUCAAAUGGAAGAUGAUGCAUGAUCACAUGCAGUAGGUCAGUGUGCUAUAAAGGCAUCAGAGAAAUGCUAACAGAGCAAGCUGCACCACCACAGUUCCAGAUGGCAAAUUCCUUUUCUAUGUCUUCUUUAAAGUUCUGAAAUGGGAACUGUAUGAAAAUGAGAUCUUAAUAUACAUAGAACAGAGCGUGACACUUCUGCAUGACUCUGGAUAAAAAUCAAAACAUGGAUGAAGAUGAUGAGAGAAUAUUACACUUGCUAAAAACCUGCAAAACAGCAAUGUUCGGAAAAACUCUGAAGCUACAAAUUCCUAAGAAAAACUAAUGGAAGGCAAGUAUCAAGAUAAGUGAGAAAAGAAUGGCAAACACUGAGUAUUGAACAUUUAUUUGUGUAUCAAUAUGUCAAACCCAUGUGUUAUACAGAGAGCUGAUCACAUUUUAUUAAAACACCACCAAAUUAAGCAAGGUCACAUAACAGUUAUCUUGUAGCAAAGCA